rnacentral:rRNA from 1 species
GACGAACGCUGGCGGCGUGCUUAACACAUGCAAGUCGAACGGAAAGGCCCUGCUUUUGUGGGGUGCUCGAGUGGCGAACGGGUGAGUAACACGUGAGUAACCUGCCCUUGACUUUGGGAUAACUUCAGGAAACUGGGGCUAAUACCGGAUAGGAGCUCCUGCUGCAUGGUGGGGGUUGGAAAGUUUCGGCGGUUGGGGAUGGACUCGCGGCUUAUCAGCUUGUUGGUGGGGUAGUGGCUUACCAAGGCUUUGACGGGUAGCCGGCCUGAGAGGGUGACCGGCCCCAUUGGGACUGGGAUACGGCCCGACCCCCUACGGGGGGCAGCGGGGGGGAAAAUUGACCAAGGGGGGGAAGCCUGAGGCGGCAACGCCGGUGGGGGGAUGGCGGCCUUCGGGUUGAAACCCGCUUUCGCCUGUGACGAGGGGGGAGGGGCGGAAAGGGGUAAAGAAGCACCGGCUAACUGCGU